UUGAGGCAUGUGCACACCUUUAUCGUGCAUCUACAUCUCACACCUGUGCACAACCUGUAGCUUGGGAUGAUUACAAUACUGGAAACGGUAUUGAAAGCCCUCGCUAUGAAUUUUUAUACAACCCUAUUAAAAGUUACAGAAUGUUUAAUGUUAUAGCGUGUAACAGCGCAAAUAAAUAUACAACUUUCAGCAACGGAUCUCUUGGCUCUCGCAUCGAUGAAGAACGCAGCGAAAUGCGAUAAGUAAUGUGAAUUGCAGAAUUCAGUGAAUCAUCGAAUCUUUGAACGCACCUUGCGCUCCUUGGUAUUCUGAGGAGCAUGCCUGUUUGAGUGUCAUGAAGUUCUCAACUGCUUUAGCUUUUGUGGUUGAAGUAAAGUUGGAUUUGGAGGAAUGAUUGCUGGCGUGACCUUUUAAGGUUGCUUGUUAGCUCCUCUUAAAUGGAUGAACUUUCCAGUAGUGUAAAAGUAACACCAAUGUGAUAAUUAUCUACGUUGGAUGAACUUUUACAAGGAAAGAUGAAUCUGUCUUGGG
rnacentral:rRNA from 1 species